CAAGGUGGGCCCGAAAAGGGCGAGCCCCUGCGGUGGCGCCCUUGCUUCCGAUCCGGGAGCCCGCGGGAUGAUUUGAUGCGGAUGGAGAGUCGGGUGCAGUUUCUUCCCGUCGCUGCCUGAGCAGCGCCAGUCACGCUCCCCAGCCUUUGAAUUUGGCGGCUGGAACUCCGGACGCCAUGGAGGAGGGCGCGUCCCGCAUCCGCCGGCGGGUGUCUGCCCGCAAGAGGACCCGGCCGGGUUUGGCGAGCGCGUGUGCUGCCCCCGCCGAGGGCGAGCGCGCGCCGGGGAAGGACGACGAGGGGGCGCGGGGCCGGCGGCGAAAGAUCGCGCAGCCGUCAGAGCAUUAUGACAGCGAAGAGGACAUGUUUGGUGACUAUGAUAGCUUCACUGAAAAUUCCAUGUUAGCCCAAGUUGAGGACCUGAAACAGAAGUAUAUGCAACUUUCUGAACAGGGAAGACAUACUGCAGACUUUGCUGCUGAAGAUCUUUGCUCAGAGAACAUCAAAAACAAACUGAGUGUUAUUCAUGUAAGUGACUUUACUGAAUAUGGAAAUGAUGAGCAGACGGAGAACCAGACUGGGUGCGGUGAUGGUGCUGCUGAACCUGGAGAUGGUUCUUUCUGUGAUGUGCCGUCUUCCCAGGUUUUAUAUUUCGAAAACCUGAAGAACUCUUCAGGUCAUUUGCACUGCCAGUCCACUAAGGAAAGGGAUGGCAGCUCAUCCUCAUGCAAGACUGGGAAUGAAGAAUUACAGCACCAGCCGCAGCAUGAAUUGUCUUCUGAAGUCCAAACUGGUUCAGACACAAAUAGGAGAAAAAGUAUUAAAGAUUUUCUAAAAAGUGCCAUGACUGGAAAUGCCAAGGCCCAAGCACCAGUAUUUUCUCGGAAUAAACAGCUCAAAGAGGCUGUCCUCUCUGAAGAGAUUAAUGUUGCUAAGGAGACAAUUGCAUCAUCAUCCAAUGACCUUGGUCCCUUCUAUUCAUUACCCAGCAAAGUGAGAGACCUUUAUGUUCAGUUCAAAGGAAUUAAAAACUUAUAUGAAUGGCAACAUACCUGCUUAACACUGAGUUGUGUGCAAGAACGAAAAAAUUUAAUUUAUUCCUUGCCAACAAGUGGUGGGAAAACCCUUGUAGCUGAGAUCUUAAUGCUUCAGGAAUUGCUUUGCCAGCGGAAAGAUGUUUUAAUGAUCCUUCCAUAUGUGGCACUUGUGCAAGAAAAGAUUUCAGGUUUGUCCAGUUUUGGUAUAGAACUGGGCUUCUUUGUUGAGGAGUACGCAGGAAGCAAAGGAAGAUUUCCUCCAGUGAAAAGGAGGGAGAAGAAAUCACUGUACGUCGCCACCAUUGAGAAGGCACACGGCCUGGUGAACUCCUUGAUUGAGACCGGAAGGAUUGGUAGUCUGGGCCUGGUCGUCGUAGACGAGUUGCACAUGAUUGGUGAAGGGAGCCGUGGUGCCAUACUGGAAAUGACCCUAGCAAAAGUCCUCUACACAAGCAAAACAACUCAAAUUAUUGGUAUGAGCGCGACAUUAAACAACGUCCAGGAUCUGCAGACGUUCCUGCAGGCAGAGUACUACAGCAGUCAGUUUAGACCAGUUGAGUUAAAAGAAUAUCUGAAGAUAAAUGACACAAUAUAUGAAGUUGACCGCAAAGCUGAAAGCAGUAUCACUGUCUCACGCCUCCUUCCCCAUCAGUAUUCUGAUUCCUUAAAAAAGAUGGAUCCUGAUCAUUUGGUGGCAUUGGUGACAGAAGUUAUACCCAAUUAUUCCUGCUUAAUUUUUUGUCCCAGUAAGAAGAACUGUGAAAAUGUAGCAGAAAUGUUAUGCAAAUUUUUAAACAAGGAGUACCUGAAGCACAGGGAGCAGGAGAAAUGUGAGCUGCUGAAGAACCUGAGGGACAGCAGCGGGGGCCACCUGUGUCCUGUCCUGAAGCGCACCGUGCCCUUCGGCGCCGCCUACCACCACAGCGGCCUGACCGGCGAGGAGCGGAAGCUGCUGGAGGGCGCCUACUCAGCUGGCGUCCUCUGCCUGCUGGCCUGCACGUCCACGCUGGCGGCCGGGGUCAACCUGCCUGCGCGCAGAGUUAUUUUAAGAGCUCCCUACGUUGCUAAAGAAUUUUUAAAGAAGAGUCAAUAUAAACAGAUGAUUGGCAGAGCUGGCCGUGCUGGAAUAGAUACCGUUGGGGAAAGUAUACUUAUAUUACAAGAAAAAGACAAGCAAAAGGUCUUGGAGCUAAUAAGCAGACCACCAGAAAACUGUUACAGCCAUCUUGUUCAGCAAUUCACCAAGGGAAUCCAAGCUUUGUUUCUCUCUUUGAUUGGCCUAAAGAUUGCAACAAAUCUUGGUGACAUAUAUAACUUCAUGAAUGGUACACUCUUUGGUGUUCAGCAAAAGAUUUUAUUGAAAGAAAAAAGUCUCUGGGAAGUAACUGUUGAAUCACUUAGAUACCUGACAGAAAAGGGGCUCCUACAAAAAAAACAUGUUUCGGAGUCUGGAGAAGAGUUGCAGUGUAAUUUUCAUAUUACCAAAUUGGGGCAAGCUUCUUUUAAGGGAACUAUAGAUCUGGCUUACUGUGACACUCUCUACAGAGACCUGAAGAAGGGUCUGGAAGGUCUGGUGCUGGAAAACCUCCUGCACCUGAUCUACCUGACGACUCCCUACGACCUGGUUUCUCAGUGUGACCCCAAUUGGAUGAUAUACUUUAGACAGAUUGGUCAGCUCAGUCCCGCUGAGCAGCGUGUGGCCACGCUCCUGGGGGUCUCUGAGAGCUACGUGGCCAAGAAGGCGGCAGGCCAGGCCACCAGGAAGAAAGUGGACAAGGAUGUUGUCAACAGACUCUACCUCUCUUUCAUCCUCUAUGCCUUGCUCAAAGAGACCAAUGUUUGGGGCGUGUCUGAAAAAUUUAAUAUUCCUCGAGGGUCUGUACAAAAUCUCCUCAUGAGCGCUGCCUCCUUCUCGUCCUGUGUGUUGCAUUUCUGCGAGGAGCUUGAGGAGUUUUGGGUUUACAGAGCCCUUCUGGUGGAGCUCACCAAGAAGCUGACCUACUGCGUCAAGGCGGAGCUGAUCCCGCUUAUGGAAGUCACCGGAGUCUUAGAGGGUCGAGCGAAACAGUUGUACAGUGCAGGGUAUAGAAGCCUGACACACUUGGCCAAUGCUGAUCCGGAAGUGCUGAUAAGAACCAUUGAUCAUUGUUCACGGCGCCAAGCCAAACAAAUUGUUUCAUCUGCAAAGCACGGUGCAUGGCUUACAGAAUGUGUUCCAUAAAUAGGAGCAGAGAUGAAUGAACGCUGUCUACUGAAAUGGUUUGUGCAGGGGCGGUCCAUAAAGAGCCAGGCCCUGAAGUCUGCCCAUGUAUUAUGAAGGGUAUAAAUGACACUUCAGGCGUGCUGGGCAAGGUCAGCAGAGCAGGUGUGGCUGGGCGGGCACCUGGGGUCCCUCAGGGCAGCCAGUGCUCCUUUGUCACAGACGCAUCUCCCGCUUGGGUCCUCAACCUCUCUUCCACUCUGCAUGCAGCUUAAAAGAGUACUUGGGAGCACCUCGCGGUCAUACCAUUAGGUGAGGCCAGUCAGAUACACACAGCGUAAGCACGUGGCCUCUCUUCUGUGAGAGCUUAGCCUGAAAGGUGACCAUAGGAAGCAGGAGACAGACCCUUCUGAGGUGGGAAGGUGACUGAGAUGGGUGGGGACCAGGAAGGGAAGGAGAGGAGGGAAGAAUUGGGAAGCGCUCAGUGCAUGUGCGCCUGCACACAGGCCCUAAAUGGCAGGCGCUGUGAAGGGUGGACUUGGCAUAUGAUUAAAGCAGAGGGUAAGGGUGGCCCUGCGGGGCUCUGAGUAGGGCAGUGGUUAAAGGUUGCAAGUAGGGGACCACAAAUGGAAAAAAGGAAGCCUGUUGUGAUUACAUUAAAGCUGUGUGCAGUGGGGACAGGAAUGCCACGUCUUGUCCUUUUACCAAUACUGACUCUGAUCGUUUGGUUAGAGUAAGCAAAUUUCAUCUGCUCAGCGUCUCCACUGUAAAAUCACUCCUCUCCUCUUGGUAAUUAGUAUUUGGGGAGUAGAUGUUUUUGAGAUGAUGGAUAUUGAGUUCUUUAUUAAACCUUCAUACAUGCAUGUAGCAUUUUCUAGUGAGUUUUGUAUAACUCAGUUAUUUCUUUUCUUAUCUUUUUUUCUUUUCUUUUUGGUCUUUCUGAGACACUGUCUCACUGUGCAGUUCAGGCUGGCCUUGAGCUCACUUUGUGGCCCAGGCUGGUCUCAAACUCACAACAAUCCUCCUGUCUCAGCUCCUGAGUGCUGAAAUUACAGAUGCUGCUGCAGGAGAAGGCAGAAGCUCUGCAGGAAGAAGUAGAGGAGCUGCUGAGGGUGCCCACCGAUGUCCCCAGGGCUGCAGCCUCUCCAGCCCAGAGGCCCGAAGCAACGUGAAGAACAGUUUUAAGUUCAACGACUGUAUUUAUUACAUGAAAGAGUCCCUGCCCUCUGUAAAUGAGAAAAUUAUUUUAAUUAUAUGCCAAGAACUAUG